rnacentral:lncRNA from 1 species
GUGACAACCCGGAUUUUUCAAAAUAUUUUAUUAAUGGUUUUUAUAAAAAGGAGGAAUAAAAUUUAAUAUUUUAUUCCAGUUUGGUAAAUUAAAAAAAAAAAUAUAUUUAAAAUAUAUUUGUUUAAAUAUUUUCCUGGUCAUCGGGGUUAUGGGAAAAUAUCUGUUGAUCGUGCAAUUAUCUGUUACGAGAUUUAAUUGAUCUAUUUGUAUACGAUUAUGUUUGUGCGUGCAUUUAUUCCUGCUUUUGAUAUUAUGAUACAGUUUAUUAAAAUAUAUUAUCCUCUUAAAUGGAUAUUUAUUUUUGUAAAAAUACAAAGAUAAUUUCAAAAAUUAUUUUAAUUGCUCGAUAGUGAUCACAAAUAUUUUUAGGAGUUUGUAAAAUUUUAAAAAUCUUAUUUCUAUAAGGACAUGAUUUUUAAUUAGUUUCUGAACGCAGCUAACUUCUAAAUUUUGUAAAAAUUUUGAAAAUGCUCUGUAAAUUAUGAGUAUUUUAUUUUAUUAGUUUUAUAAUAUUUUGGGAUUUAUAAAAAUAUUUCGGUAAUUUUUGGGAGAAGUUUUACUAAUAAGUUAUCUCCGUAAAUCAGUUAAAUACGGAUAGAGGGUAAAAACAUUAGUUAGCUUAUAUUAGGUGGAAGCUUCGGUUAUUGCCACCGAUCAAUACUCUUUUGUUUUUCUUCAGCCACGUAAUACACCUCCUGCAGUCACCUCCUUUUCCCCAAUUUCAAAACCUUCCCUCUGUUAAUCUCUCGACCUCACCGCCUCUU